CCACCAACAUAUAUAUAUGUAUCCCUAUACUUGAUCUUGUUUAGACCACAAUCUUGUUCCAUUGUACAAAGCUUGGGGUUUGAAGUCAUUGGCCUACUAUGGAUGUACAACCUAAGUGCAUGAAUGGAUUCACGCAAACCUACAAGGAUCGACGCAGAUCACACAACCUUGUUGAUGCCAUAAUUGACACCGGUCAUUGACCUAAAAAGGGGUGAAGAUCUGCAACCUAAAGACUUGUGGUGAUUUGGCGAAGAUCUCGAAGAUUCUUCUAUUGAAAGAGCAUCCAAGGUUGAGAUCUCGAGGUUGGACUCAUAGAAGUUUGACAUGAAAGAAUAUUUUAUCCUUUUCGAAGAAAAAAGGCAACAUUGAUGCAAUAACAGGUUGAGAAUGGAGGCUGAGAUUUUAGAGGUAUCCAAUAAAUCAAUCAUUCAAAAACUUCAAAUAACUUCGCUAGGCAGGUAAAUACUUCCACAACUGCCUUGAGAAGUUUGAGAUAAGCUAGAUGAUUUAUAUGCUAAUAAGAUCCCCAAUAGUGUUUAUAUUCUUGGAAGAUUCGUUGCAUAUGAAAUAAAUACCUCAAGAAAUCUAAAGGCAAACUUUGGUGAUUUAAAUAAAAUGAUACUUGAUUUAGCAAAUAAUGAGAGCAAAAUGGAAGAUGAAUAUA